rnacentral:sRNA from 1 species
CACCAAUCAACAAAACCAAAAAAAAAAUGUAAGUAACAAAAGAAAGAAAUA